CAGUAGCCGCGGUAAUACGGAGGGUGCAAGCGUUACUCGGAACCACUGGGCGUAAAGGACGCGUAGGCGGAUUAUCAAGUCUCUUGUGAAAUCUAACGGCUUAACCGUUAAACUGCUUGGGAAACUGAUAAUCUAGAGUAAGGGAGAGGCAGAUGGAAUUCUUGGUGUAGGGGUAAAAUCCGUAGAGAUCAAGAAGAAUACCCAUUGCGAAAGCGAUCUGCUGGAACUUAACUGACGCUAAUGCGUGAAAGCGUGGGGAGCAAACAGGAUUAGAUACCCCCGUAGUCCCUGUCUCUUAUAC
rnacentral:rRNA from 1 species